AGGGAGGGAGGGAGGGAGAGAGAGAGAGAGAGAGAGAGAGAGAGAGAGAGAGAGAGAGAGAAUCUUCAGCAGGCUCCAGGCUCAGCCCAGAGCCAGAUGUGGGGAUAGAUCCCAUGACCUUGGGAUUAUGACCUGACUUGAAAUCAGAGUCAGACGCUCAACUAACUGGGCCAGCCAGAAGCCCCUGGAUACAUUCUUGUAAAGAUUCAUGAUGCUGAGUAAAAGAUUCCUGCUUAGAAACCACAGCUCUCCCCGGGAGCCCUUCAGGGUACUGAGACCAGAAUUUUGGUGACAGCCUUCAGAGGCACAGAAGCACAAAUCUGCAGCGUUUUCCUACAAGGCACCGAGUCUUUCUGGUGAAAAGGGGCGGACGAAGUGACAGAUGGGCACGAGGCCUGGGGGAUCAGGGCCAACUGAAGCUUGCCCCCAUAUUCUGGCAGCGUACGGAGUUGGGUAAAAGGGGCAGUCCGGACCGCGGGGUGCCGGUUGGGGACGGGGGGACGAUGCUGGGUGAUUUAGGCUUCGUGAUCUGAGGGUGGUCCGGGCCCCUGGGCGAGUCAGUGCCACCCCCGGCCCAUCAGCACCCCCGCGGCCGCCGCGCCGUCCCAGCGUGCCAGUGACUCAGCAGCGGCGAUCCCGAUAGGCCGCCCCGCGCACCCGCUCACCGGUUGAAAUGAUCCACCACACUGAGCAGCACCAAGGGGUGAACUACCACCUUCUGCACAGCCAGCUCCGGCAUCGCGACACACGCCGCCCGCCAGGCCCCGCUCCUUGCGACCCGCAAACACCGGCAGCCUCAGGGACUCUCGCGGAUCCUCCAGGCCCGGCUCCUCCUCUUCCGGCUCGGCCGCCGCCACGGUUCCCUUUUUCCGCUCCCAGAGCGCCCCGCGCGCCGCCCCGGGUUUUCGCGCCAGCUGCCAUCUUGAGGACGGGAAAGGCCGGGGGCAGGUGGGGCCCGCCUUGGGUGACUCGCUGGGAGAUUUCCUGGUCUUCGAAGCUAAAGGCACACUGGAGACUGAGAAAAAGGUUGACCUCCUGGUAUUGGGCCUGCGCUGUCACUUGCAGCGGCCUUUCGCUUUAGUUCCUUCGCAGUUCACAACCUCCCCCAACCCUUACGCUGUGUGAAGACUGCAGAAAAAAAUACUAGAAAAAAAUAGUAAUUCAUAUCCACCACCCAGAAAAUGUUCACCUUUGUUUCAUGUCAGAAUUCUCCAGAAUUUAACUCUAAAUCUCUAGGGAUGCCUGGCAGGCUCAGUUGGUAGAGCCUGCAACUCUUGAUCUAAGGGUGGGAAUUCAAGUCCUACAUUGGGUGUAGAGCUUACUUCAAAACAAAACCUCAGAAGGGAUGAAUCUCUAGCAUGAGGGCACAUUCUUAAAGUGGGUUUGGUAAAUUUAUCUCAUUUUUAUUGUUGGGGAAUUUCCCCUUAAUAUUUACUGUGGACACUUUGCGGAUAAUCAACCUGUUUUUAUUUUUCCACUUGUUUAUAUUACCAUUUAACUGGGGCUAGAAAAGUUCAACUUGUGCCUUGAGUCAGACCAUUCGGGUUGUUUUUCACAUAAAAGCUUAGGUAAGGGUUGAAGUAACUGAAAAGUAAUACGAACUAUGUUUUGAUAUUUAGCUAGGAAAGAAAAAGUCUAAGGAUAAUGUAGCAGGUGAAGACAAGCAUAUUUGCAGAAAGGCAAAUUAUUUAAAUUUCGUGCAAGUUUACAUUUCUAAUUCUGAGUUGUAUGUGUAAACAAAAACAAUACCUAAGCGUCUUGAAUGCUUUGCUUAUUGUUUGCCCUGUCUUUAAACAACUGUUACCUUCCCGGUAGCUCCAGAGGAUCUGACCUCUCUGAAGAAUAACCCGGAGCCUUUUGCUCUGAAUCUUGGCCUCCUUCCAGUAUAAUCAGGGAGCUUUGAGUAUUCUUUUCUGGGUCCUACCCAUUAAAUUAAUUAAAUGCACUCUUCCUCCUUUUGGGAACAUUGCUUUGCAUUUUCAUUUGUUUUAAUAUUUGUGAUUUGGUUAAUAGUAAUUGCUACUACUUGAGAAAACAGAACUUUAAGAUUAAGAAAAUGUAAGUCAGUCCCCAUUGUGUGAUGUGGUAAAGCAUGCUUGAGGGGUUUUAGUGCCUGUUUUAAAGUAGAUAUUCUUGGGGUUCCUGAGUGGCUUAGUGGAUUAAGCAGCCAACUCUUUGGCAUCUGCCGAAGUCAUGAUCUGGAGCCCCAUGUCGUGCUCUGUGCUCACCGCACGGAGACUGCUUCGGAUCCUAUGUCUCUCUUUCUGGCCCUUUCCCACUUGCUCUCUCUCUCUCUCAAAAAUAAAUAAACAUUAAAAAAAAUUACAAAGUAGA